rnacentral:rRNA from 1 species
GACGAACGCUGGCGGCGUGCUUAACACAUGCAAGUCGAACGAUGAAGAAAAGAAUUGAAGCUUCGGCAGAAAUUCAUUUCGGAUUAGUGGCAGACGGGUGAGUAACGCGUGAGCAACCUACCUCUUACAAAGGGAUAGCCUCGGGAAACCGGGAUUAAUACCAUAUAACAUUGCGACGAAGCAUUUCGAUGCAAUCAAAGCUACGGCGGUAAGAGAUGGGCUCGCGUCCCAUUAACCAGAUGGUGAGGUAACGGCUCACCAUAGUAACGAUGGGUAACCGGCCUGAGAGGGUGACCGGUCACACUGGAACUGAGACACGGUCCAGACUCCUACGGGAGGCAGCAGUGGGGAAUAUUGCACAAUGGAGGGAACUCUGAUGCAGCGACGCCGCGUGAGUGAUGAAGGAAUUCGCUUCGUAAAACUCUGUUCUAUGGGAAGAAAAGGACUGUACCAUAGGAGAAAGCUCCGGCUAAAUACGUG